rnacentral:lncRNA from 1 species
GGUUGAUACGUGACAUAUGUGGCUGAGGUCUUCAGUUCAUUUCUUAACCUGACACCUCCACUCUCUGUUGUGAUCUUCAUUCAGGAGUGUUGUAGUCAGAGUGCUGAUACACUGUCCCAGGGGUGCGGGAAGAUGUUUUCGGUUGGGGGUGCUGUGUGUGUCCGUGUUGGGUGAAAGGGGUUAUUAAUCCGUACAACUGCAGCGGUGGAGGACUAUUAUUCUGCUGCGUGAUACUGCAGAAGAACUGAAGAAGAGAGAAUUAACAGUGUCUAGAGGUAUGAAUGAUGUCAAUGGAAACCAGAGAGCACACACCUCAGCCAUAGGAACAACAGGCAAACACAAAUUAACCCAGGAACAACCAGGAAACAUGGAGAACCGAUCACCCAGAGAACAACAAAGACAACAGCUAAUGCAGCAGCCAGAGCAGAAAUCACGAUCACUAAAGUAGAGAGGACAUGCAGACAAAUACUGGAACCAUCCGAGUAGUUUCCUUGAUCUUUUGUCUCGUCUUGCCCUGGUUCUCUGCUUUUUUCUUUUCUUUGUUGCCUGUUUUUUGGUUACCUAGUAGAUUUGAACCAUACCCCUGCCUUUUGAUUUAUUCCCUGUGGCUUAUUGCUCUUGACAU